GGGAGGUGUGAUCCCGUGCUUGCUGGGAGGUGUGAUCCUGUGCUUCCUGGGAGGUGUGAUCACAUGCCUGCU
rfam:Gorilla gorilla gorilla genomic chromosome, chr9, whole genome shotgun sequence